rnacentral:rRNA from 1 species
CCCUUAGAUGUCCUGGGCCGCACGCGCGCUACACUGACAUGUUCAACAAGCCUCCUAGUUCGACAGGAUUUGGGAAAUCUUUGAACGCAUGUCGUGAUAGGGAUAGAUCAUUGCAAUUAUUGAUCUUGAGCGAGGAAUUCCUAGUAAACGCGAGUCAUCAGCUCGCAUUGAUUACGUCCCUGCCCUUUGUACACACCGCCCGUCGCACCUACCGAUUGAAUGUUUCGGUGAAGAUUCCGGAUAGGACUUUUUUGAUUUAUUUCAAUUUUGUCUUAAAAGCUAUCUAAACCUCAACAUUUAGAGGAAGGUGAAGUCGUAACA